GGACAGAGAGAAUACAUGCUAAUUGAUAGAGGUGCAUUAUUAUACACUCCUUACCUUUUGCGAUGCUAAUUGACAGAGGUGCAUUAUUAUACACUCCUUACCUUUUGCGAUGUGCAAGACAGUUGGAAAACUGUGCAGCAUAUUGUUCAUCCAGUUCGCUGGAUUUAUUAACAAUAACAGUUUUAUUCUUGACUAGUCAAUAGUGAUGAUGUAUUUUUCUUGUCAAUCACUAGUAACCUAAACACCAAGAUAGCUCCAAUCAUGCUUCUCCUCCACACUCUAGCAACCGCAGAAACUUGGUUAAUGUCUCAUGGUCAUCAUAUCCUAAACCAGCCUUCAUUGCACAUCUAUAUCUAUCUAUACCUAUACUAAUCACAGUCUCCCAAGAAGCCACCACGUUAACUAGAAAGAUCAGACCAUCCAUCCAUCGUGUGGGCCAAAGGUAUUAUGAUGGCUCAUAUUUUUCAAACAAAUUUUCCAUAAAAAAUAUUUAAUCUCCC
rnacentral:lncRNA from 1 species